CGAACGCUGGCGGCGUGCUUAACACAUGCAAGUCGAACGGAAAGGCCCUGCUUUUGUGGGGUGCUCGAGUGGCGAACGGGUGAGUAACACGUGAGUAACCUGCCCUUGACUUUGGGAUAACUUCAGGAAACUGGGGCUAAUACCGGAUAGGAGCUCCUGCUGCAUGGUGGGGGUUGGAAAGUUUCGGCGGUUGGGGAUGGACUCGCGGCUUAUCAGCUUGUUGGUGGGGUAGUGGCUUACCAAGGCUUUGACGGGUAGCCGGCCUGAGAGGGUGACCGGCCACAUUGGGACUGAGAUACGGCCCAGACUCCUACGGGAGGCAGCAGUGGGGAAUAUUGCACAAUGGGCGGAAGCCUGAUGCAGCAACGCCGCGUGCGGGAUGACGGCCUUCGGGUUGUAAACCGCUUUCGCCUGUGACGAGGCGUGAGUGACGGUAAUGGGUAAAGAAGCACCGGCUAACUACGUG
rnacentral:rRNA from 1 species